rnacentral:tRNA from 1 species
AAAAAGAUAAGCUAAUUAAGCUACUGGGCCCAUACCCCAAUUAUGAGGGUCUCAAUCCCUCUCUUCUUA